rnacentral:rRNA from 1 species
AUUGGACGCUGGCGGAAUGCUUUACACAUGCAAGUCGAACGGCAGCACGGGGGCAACCCUGGUGGCGAGUGGCGAACGGGUGAGUAAUACAUCGGAACGUGCCCGGUCGUGGGGGAUAACGUAGCGAAAGUUACGCUAAUACCGCAUACGAUCUGAGGAUGAAAGCGGGGGACCUUCGGGCCUCGCGCGAUCGGAGCGGCCGAUGUCAGAUUAGGUAGUUGGUGGGGUAAAGGCCUACCAAGCCGACGAUCUGUAGCUGGUCUGAGAGGACGACCAGCCACACUGGGACUGAGACACGGCCCAGACUCCUACGGGAGGCAGCAGUGGGGAAUUUUGGACAAUGGGCGCAAGCCUGAUCCAGCCAUUCCGCGUGCAGGACGAAGGCCUUCGGGUUGUAAACUGCUUUUGUAUGGAACGAAAAGGCUCCGGCUAAUACCUGGGGCUCAUGACGGUACCGUAAGAAUAAGCACCGGCUAACUACGUG